AAGCUGUGGCAUCUUGAAACCACAACCAGAUACCAGUUCACUUAGAAAGUUUGAAACACCAUGAAGUUCACCUACACUUUGUCCCUUCUGGUUUUGUGCCUAACUUUGUACUUAACCUUCACCAAUGCUGCAAAUUUCAACAUUAUAAACCAAUGUACCUACACAGUUUGGGCAGCUGCUUCCCCAGGCGGUGGCAGGCGGCUCGACCGAGGCCAAUCAUGGUCCCUAAACGUGGCUCCUGGCACCACCCACGCUCGCAUUUGGGGCCGAACCAAUUGCAACUUUGAUGCCAAUGGCCGAGGCCAAUGUCAAACAGGUGACUGCAACGGGGGCCUCGUAUGCCAAGGCUAUGGAAAGCCUCCGAAUACACUAGCUGAAUUCGCCCUAAACCGGCCUAACAACGUAGACUACAUCGACAUUUCCAACGUUGAUGGAUUCAACAUCCCAAUGGAGUUCAGCUCCGUUACUCGUUGCCGUAAUAUCAGAUGUUCAGCGCCUAUUGUUGAUCAAUGCCCAGCUAAGCUAAGAACUCCAGGUGGAUGCAACAAUCCCUGCACUGUCUUUAAAACAAAUGAGUUCUGUUGCACCAAUGGCCCAGGAAGCUGCCGCCCGACCGACUUCUCCAGGUUCUUUAAGAGCAGGUGCCCUGAUGCUUAUAGCUAUCCUCAAGAUGAUCCCACAAGCUUGUUUACUUGCCCAAGUGGUACAAAUUAUAGGGUUGUCUUCUGCCCUUAAAUAAAGCUAGAUAUUUAAGGUUCUUGUGACAGCUUAUAUGCUCCAAGAACUUCACUAGAAAAGUAGAUUAUGAGAAAUAAACGCAUAUGUGAACCUUCUGGUAAUGGUUCACUGGAAUUGGGAUAAAUUUGAGCACAUAUAGCAUUGUGCGGUUUGUCUUCUUUAUCAGCUUUUUGGCUUUAUAAACUACUUAUGAACUAGAUGACCAGUUCAAAACUAAUGAAGUUUUACUAAAUUAAUCAGUAAGAAGGAUUUACGGAUCUCUAGUUUUAAAUUAGAUUGUCAAAAUACUUUGUUCCCCACACUUCGAAAAUUUGAGUCAUGUUUAGGUUUAACUUACAUAGGAGAAUUCCUUUUUUUUUUUUUUUCUGAAAUUCAGACCAUCUCUCCAGUCAAAUACUAAGAUGUCAUAUAAAUCAAAUUAAUUUGUUUAAGUGUAUUACACAAUCAUACUUCAUGUAUAUAAAUGUUACCACAAAAUCAAGAGUAAGAAAAGUUUGUCUUGCAACUAUUCAAGAAAUGGAAGCUUGGUGUAAAUUCAAAACAAAAAUGGAGAUUUCUAUACUAAGGUAAACCCCAAAAUAAUUGAAAAUGAUAAUCUCAUGAAAUAACAAAGAUGGUGAGAUGAAAGAUUACUAAGUAAGAUAAAGGUGCGAUUAAGGCGUUCAAUCGAGGAAACUUGUAGAUGCCAAAUUGACAAUUUGAUGCACAUAUGCUUAAUAGUAUUCAAGUGUUCAUUCUUAAAAGUUGGAAUUGGGCCAAUAUUGUAAUUCAGCCCGGUUGUAUAUUUAUUACAUUAUACUGUUAUAUUCAUGGAAACAGUGAUGUAAAUGAAUAAAACAUUUCAUCUACAGUGAAUAUAAUAUUAGGGUAAAUUAUUUAUAAUUCUUCUGUAAUUUUAUAUAAUGUCAGACGAUCUCCCAUAUGUUUCAAAAUAGUCACAUCACCCCCUAUGAUUUUAUGUAAAGCAGAGAAUAAAUAAAAAGUACUAUCAAUUACAAUGUGUAUACCAAACGUGCUCUAAAAAUAUGUGUCAUAAAAUCUUAGUUUUCAUGUAAUCCACUUAUGAGAUGUAUAAUUAUCCACUUUACCUCCUAUAAUUUUUGUAUUUAUCCAAAUAAUCCCCUAUGCUUUUAUAUAAGAUAGUUAAACUGUCAAUUGAUUUAGCAUUUAUACAAGGGCACUAUUAAUAUGUUAAUUAAUAGUCGUCCAAGCAACCAUCAAGACACAGCCAACAGAACAAGCUAUUAGCAACUCAAAUUUUAUCAAUCAUUACAUGUACUAGAGCUUAAUUGGCAAGGAAGAAGUGAAUUUACUUGGCUUUUAAUUCGUUCUUUAUCCUCGAAGCAGUCUUUGCAUAUCUACCAGAGGGAAUUUUGUCAAUGUAUUAACUGCAUUUCCCUGCUUCACUAAUGGUUAGAACAUAAAUAAAGCAAGGUGUUCUGGAACAACGUCAAAUCAAACAUAAAACCAAUUUAUGCAUGACAAGGGCAGAAAUUAAGGUCAAUACAUGCUGCUAAAUUUACUCCAUUACCAAGGACAACUUCACCGAUGAUCUUGGGAUUUGUAGUAGUUGUUGCGAUGGUGAACAACCAUGGUGCUGUACUUGUAAUCUGUCCUUGUACAAGACCAUUAUUUCCUGCCGAUUACAGUAAGUAUUCCCUUCUGUGCUGCAUGAAAAGAUCCAAUUGCUAUAGAAUUAUCUUUCAAUCAACCGGAUAAUUGAAACCAAUUAAAAUUGUAAUAAUGUCUACUCCAUCGGCUAUAGCAUCGUUGAAUCAAGCCAAUAUAUCAGCAUCAUCACAGCAUGGAAAAGCACAAGCAUUGUAUACAGCAUUCCUUGCUGCAGGCGCCCCUCCUCGUAUAGUACCUUCUACAAUUCCAUAGUAACUCACAUCCAUGACAAUGUUUCCUGCAGCUGUGUGCGUUCCAUUAUGACCCUAUAAAUCUGUUGCAGAAUCUGAUACAUGGUACCGAGCUCCAAUAAUUUUUCUGUAGACAUGUACACAUCAAAAUGAUAAUCGAAGUUUCCCAUUCAACAUUUCCUAUGUAAACUAACAAAAAGUAGAAACUUUUCCUGUUGCACAUGAAAUCAAUCCCGCCGUAACACACUCCUUUCCAUUUGCUGGGAAUAGGACCAAAACUUUGUUCACGAAAACUCUCUGAUUCUGGCCAAAUUCCAGAAUCAAGUAACUCCUAUGACUAUAUCACUCUCAAAUGCAAGAUUUCGGGGGGCACUUAUAGGAAAACAAAUAAAGUCGCACGAUGCUGUUGUAUAAGUUGAAGCCUUUUGCUUGGAAAUAUAGAAACCACAUGAUCAUGAGCUGCAAAUUUAGUUAAGAACUCACACAUUAGUGGAAGAUUAAUAGAUUUCAAAAAUCAGGAAAGUUGAAAGAGACUAACGUUGCAAAAUUGCACAGACCAGCCAACUUUUGCUGCUCUUGCUUUGUAAGGUAGGCUGAAAAUCCAUUGAAACUCCUAGUAUAACUUCUUCCCAAGAUUUCCCCUUGAUAAUUUCCAUGACAUAAAGAAAAAGAAAUAAAUAAUGUUAUAAAAAAGUUUUUUUUAUGCAUCAAUUGGUAUGUAGUAUAAGUUUGUGGGCACUGAAUAUAUGCAUUAAUUGCUAUCUUAAGCUUCUUCCAGGAUACUAACAUGGUGCUCGGAAGCUGAAUAUUCUCUUUCAGGAUGCGAUUCCACGUAAACUGUAAACCUGUCAUCAAGUAAAAGAAAACUAUCAUUUCUUGACUUGCUGCAUGUUAUUGAAUUUGAACGCUUCAGUUAUGCGACAGUUAUAUUUAUCGUGUAAAAUGUUGUAGUUAUGAUCACUACAUUGAAGUACAAUGCUGCAAAUUCAAUAUAUUACCCGAUACGCAUUAAUCAAAGAAAAUUAAUCUUUUACAGAAAUGAAAAGAGAAGAUAUCAAUGGCACUAUUGCCAAUACUGAUGGGCAACAUAUCCAGUUCUAUAGGCAACAUUAGCCAUUGUUUUCAGGAAUUACAUUUUCUAGCUCCAACUAUAUAUUGUUACUUAUGUUCCUUAAUGUAUGUUAAUCUCUAUUAGUACAUUUUUUCAGACCUAAAAGAUUUCUGGGUCGUACAAUACGAAAUCAAAAGGUGAUGUGUACAAAUGGUCCUUAGAAAGGGUAAGCCUGUCUCUUAGGACUUAAAUACAAGGAUCAAAGAUGCAUGUCCCAUUUUGUGCAUAAUUAAUAUCAAAAACCAACCUGAUUUGUUUAGAAAAGUUUGUUAAAACAAUGCAACAUUACCUUUAGUCAAAAAUCGUGGGCUAUUGUUGCAUUUAUGAGUUACAUAAAAGUCAUCCAUACAGGCAGAAGAAAUCCAGCAUUUCUUGCGGCUUUGGAGUGCUUCGUUUUUACUCAUGCUUGUAUCUUGAGCCAGAUUUGAUAUCUCAAGAAUGAGACUCUGAUAAGAUUAGAGUAAGUAUGCUCAAGAUUUGAAGCGAGGCUCAACUUAGUAAUGUUUUGUGCAAGAUUAUUUGUGAGUGUUGUUAUUUUAUACAUUUUUUUAGUGUAAUGUAUUAUUUGUUUGCCUUUAUUAUCAGUAGACUUAAUCCAUUAAUUUGGUAAAUCCACCACAAUCUAACAAAGCUCUGUUACUCGGGGAGUCCCAUGGACACAGUACCCGUACAAAAUAAAGAUUCCAACAUAGAUAUGGGAGGGCAAAAUAGAGAGUCUGAAAAACAUAAUAGAAAAGCUUGAGAAGGGAAGUGGAUAAUGGACCAAUGAGAACAAGAAAAUAAAACAAUUAAACCCUAAUAUUUAUUCUCAUCCACUUAUUGAGUAGAAGGAUCAUGUCAUGAAAUCAAAAGAUUAUGGAAUAACUUGUAACAAAAUAUUUUUCCCGUAAUGAUAUACUAUAUCCCAUAUGAUUGAAGAAAAAGAAAAAUGACUUGCCUGACUUUCUUCACCAGAAUGGUGCAUAAUAGGCUCAUUAGAAUUGCUAAUACAAAUAAGAAACAAAAUGCUAUAAACCCAAAAGAGUAGUACAGCGACCCUAAAACAUGCUUUAACUUUUCCUUAAAGUUGUGACUCAAAUAUUUAAGAUCACAACAAAGUUCUCAUUUCAAUUGUUCUAAAUGCAACAACGAGCUGCAUGCAUAUUGACUUGUCUUGCUACAUUGAUUAAUAGUUUUUAACGUUGGAAAGGAAACACAAAAAAUUUAAGCUAUAGUGAUGAUUGAGUAAUAUUUCUGAGAUCUGAAUUAAAAUGUGUAAUACCUUUCCUAUUUCGGAUGGUAUGAAUUAUGCGUUAUGUUUCUUGUAGGGAGAUGUAAGUUGGCCUACCUACCUUCCAUUUUUGCCUAUAAAAGAAAUUUUUUGUUCAAUAUAAUACUGGAACUAAUAAGAAUUAGAAAAGUAUUUCUAUUUCCAGUCAAAGAAAAUUGAGACGUCAAAACCAGAAACCUUAUUGUAACUUGAAUGUUUGUGAUGUCUUUUGUAAGCAUUAUUUUCCAUUCAGUUGGUACUAGCUUAAUUAUCUUUAGUAAGGUUCUAUUUGAUAAUUUAACUCAGCACUCAAACUUAAUGGGUUCAGAUCAUAAUAUGUUCAAACGCAUUUGAUAACUAAAAAUAAGACAUUUGAAUUAAUUAAGUGACACUGAAUUUUGCACAAUUUAUUUCAAAAAUAAGUGAUAAAUUAUUCAAGUAUCACUUAAUGUGAUAUACAUUUAAAUGUUUCAGAUUUAAUACUCAACAAUUCAGUAAAUUAACGAAUUUAGACUUUAGAUUUCAAAUUUCAUUUUUCAAACUUUAGUUUUAUCAAACGUACCCUAAGGGUGUGUUUGAUAAAACUGAAGUCUGAAUCUAUUAAAUUAUUGAAUUUUUAAGUAUUAAAUCUAAUACAUUUGACUGCAUAUCACAUUCAGUAAUAAGUGAAUAGCUUAUCACUUAAUUUUGGGAGCAAAUUUUGCCUAGAAAAUUUAAUACUAUUUAAUUAAUUCAGAUGUUAAAUUUUUUAUUAUCAAAUGGUCUGAAUAUAUUAAAAAUUGAAUCCAUUAAGUUUAAAUGCUGAAUUGGAUUAUCAAACAGAAUCUAAGUCUAUUAAGGGGAUUGAACCAAUAAAUUUGAUGAGUUUCAGUUUAACAAUAUAUUUAACAAAUUAUCACUGCCCAAUAAGGGCCCAUCUAAAAACACUUGAAACAAGUGCAUGCUUGUUUGGUGAUUUCCGGCUGGGCUCCCGCUGCUCUUGCAGUGUCCAUUAACGAAUUCCUAUUGUCAAUUUUGGGUCGUAUAUCCACCAGCCCAUGGAAUUUAUUUACAAAGGGAAAUCCUUUUAAGUUGUGAAUUUAAUUAGUAUAACGAGAAAUAAUUUGAGAAAAUUACAACAAAGUACAAACCAUAUGUGCAAGUUUUCUCAAACACAUACCAAUUAUGAAUAGCUUAAGAAAUGAUGAAUAAAUCAUCUUUUUCAGCUUUUCUUUUUGGCCCAUUGUUAAAUCUUCUUUGUUCCCUCAACAAAAAAAAAAAGAAGAAAGAAAUAAACUUCAUCUUUUUAAUUAGUGAAUAAAAUGUAUAUGAAGAGAAAAAGAUAAUUAAAUAUCUUAAUACUAAAACAUAAUGCUACUUAAGAAGUUUCAAAAAUUUUGGUAUCAGUUAGUGAUAAUAAUUUCUCCUAACGCAUUCUUUUAUCUACUACAAAAAAAAAACGUUAUAACUUAUUAUAAAAACCAUCCAAAAUCACAUUGAUUCUUAAGUAUUCCCCUUUCUCCUUGUAAGGGAUGAAUUGCAUCCAAAUCAGGUUCCUUACAAGUGGCUAGCACCCUAAUGGCCUAAUCCAUGGAAGCCAUAUUACAAAAGUGGACUACAAAAGCUAGGGGAAUAUAAUUUCCCAUACUUCUUAUUGUAAUCAUUCCCAAUUUACCUUGGCAUAUACUGGUUUGUUACAAGACUUCAAUCGCUAGCUCUGAACCUCUGGCUAGUAUGUAAUGGCAGAUUAUCUACUAGGAUCAGAGGCAGUUACUAGAUUGGAAAUCAAUACCAGACUAGUAGUGCCCUUUAUCUUGUUGCUUUUGUAUCAUUGGGUUCUUGAAAACAAAAGGCUAGAGAAUCACACCGGGCACAAGUUGCAGUAAAUGAAUUUUGAUUGAACAUGAAUUUAGCAUUUUACCCACCUCAAAUGCUAUUCUGGAAAGUUGCCAAAACUGAAGUUUAAGCUCAAAAAACUGCUUGAACACUGCCCCAAACAGGGCCUUUUUUUUUUUUUUUUUUUUUUUUUUAAAAACUACUUGAGUAAGUUCUACGAAAUCCAGGACUAGAAACUCUUGUUCCACUUGAUACGCUGAUUGUCUUGAUGCCAUUUGCCUAACUUCUGAGUGGAUCGGGACUGGAGAAGGAAGACAAACGCAUGUGUGGCCUUCAUUUAUGCCCCGUCUGCUGCUUCAGAAUCUAGUUGCAGUUCCCGUCUAAGAGGAAGAAUCUAAAGGACAAAGAAACAAGCAGAAGACUUUAGUAGUCAUGAAAUUAUCAUUAGUCUCCUCAGGGCUGGAAUUUGAAAAAAACCCUGAAUACUAACAUGUUGAUAUUGGCUACCCAGAACAGAAAGUUAUCGCUAAAAUAAUUACAAGCUAAUACCAUCAUUUCUAAUUUUGAACUUACGUUUCAGUGUAUCUAAUCCUUAUUAAUUUGUAUAAUUGCUAAUUCUUUCUACUAAUUAAGUCAAAAGAGAAUUGUUUUGAAUGAUCUUUUUUCUUUUUCGAAAAUUGUAAUAUAAUAUUUUGAUCAUAAGCGCAUUUGAGAUUUUCAAAGAUGUUAGAUAGUGAUUCUUGAAAACAACGAAAAACUCCACCCAAACAGAUAAGCCAUGUCUGUAUCUUUUUUCUAUCUUUCUUAGAGGUAAUCCACGAAUUGGACACUAACUAAGAAAACAUCAUAACAUUGACAUAUUAGAACACUGAAGUUCACAUUACCAGAAGAAUAAAAAAUGAGGGAUGAGAACUGACUGAAAUUAUGCAGGAGGAUUAUUGAGAGAGAAGCAUCUUCGAAUCAUUCCUAGAAUACAAGACAAGACCAUCAACAUCUCUGAAAUUUCUCAUGUAGAAAAUUUGUUAAGAAGAUUAACAUGUACGCGCAAAAUGAUAGCAGCCAAUCGCCCUAUAUAAACCCCCAAGCUGUGGCAUCUUGAAACCACAACCAGCUACCAGUUCACUUAGAAUUUUUGAAACACCAUGAAGUUCACCUACAUUUUGUCCCUUUUGGUUUUGUGCCUAACUUUAUACUUCACUUUCGCCAAUGCUGCAAAUUUCAACAUCACAAACAAAUGUACCUACACAGUUUGGGCAGCUGCUUCCACAGGUGAUGGCAGGCAACUCGACCGAGGCCAAUCAUGGUCCCUAGAUGUGGCUCCUGGCACCACCAAAGCUCGCAUUUGGGGCCGAACCAAUUGCAAAUUUGAUGCCAAUGGCCAGGGCCAAUGUCAAACAGGUGACUGCAACAAGCGCCUCAAAUGCCAAGGCUAUGGAAAUCCACCAAAUACGCUAGCUGAAUUUGCCCUAAACCAGCCUAACAACUUAGACUACAUCGACAUCUCCAACGUUGAUGGAUUCAACAUCCCAAUGGAGUUCAGCUCUGUAACUCCGUGCCGCGUUAUCAAAUGUUCGAAACCUAUUGUUGAUCAAUGCCCAGCUCAGCUAAGAACUCCAGGUGGAUGCAACAACCCCUGCACUGUUUUUAAAAGAAAUGAGUACUGCUGCACCAAUGGCCCAGGAAGCUGUGGCCCGACCGACUUCUCCAGGUUCUUUAAGAGCAGGUGCCCUGAUGCUUAUAGCUAUCCUCAAGAUGAUCGCACAAGCUUGUUUGCUUGCCCAAGUGGUACAAAUUAUAGGGUUGUCUUCUGCCCUUAAAUAAAGCUAGAUAUUUAAGGUUCUUGUGACAGCUUAUAUGCUCCAAGAACUUCACCAGAAAAGUAGAUUAUGAGAAAUAAACGCAUAUGUGAACCUUGUGGUAAUGGUUCACUGGAAUUGGGAUAAGUUUGAGCACAUAUAGCAUUGUGCGAUUUGUCUUCUUUAUCAGCAUUUUGGCUCUUUAAACAACUUAUGAACUAGAUCACCAGUUCAAAACUAAUGAAGUUUUACUAAAUUAAUCUGUAAGAAGGAUUUACAGAUCUCUAGUUUUAAAUUAGAUUGUCAAAAUACUUUGUUCCCCGCACUUCAAAAAUUUGAGUCAUAUUUAGGUUUAACUUACACAGGAGAAUUCCUUUUUUUUGGAAUUCAGACUAUCUCUCCAGUCAAAUACUAAGGUGUCAUAUAAAUCAAAAUAAUUUGUUUUAGUGUAUUACAUAAUGUUACCACGAAAUCCAGAGUAAGAGAAGUUUGUCUUACAAACAUUGAAGAAAUGGGAUGUUGGUGUAAAUUCAAAACAAAAAUGGGGAUUUCCAUGCUAAGGUAGACCCCAAAACAAUUGAAAAUGAUAAUCUCAUGAAAUAACAAAGAUGGUGAUAUGAAAGUUUACUAAGUAAGAUAAAGGUGCAAUUAAGGAGCUCAAGUGAUGUGGAAACUCGUAGAUGCCAAAUUGAUAAUUUGAUGCACUCAUGCUAAAUAGUACUAAUUCACUCUUAAAAGCUGGAAUUGGAGCCACUGCUAGAAGUUCCAUGAAGUUCAGUUCAAUUGUUAUAUUUAUUACGUAAUAUUAUUAUGCUUUUGGAAAAAGUAAUAUACAUGAACGAAAAUACUUGGUAUGUAGUGAAUACAACAUUAUAAUGUAGUUGUCUACCAAAAAUUUAAAUACACACAAUAAAAUAAUGCAUAUCUAUUCAAAUUAUGUAUCAGAAAAGAGUUAAAUAUUGCUCUAAGGAUAAAAAAUUAAGUGAUUAUAUAAUUGUUUUGAACGCUAUUUUUAGGAAAAUCAUUAUAUAGCAUCUUAGUGAUAACUGCUUUUGUGAUAUUAAAAGAUGUUAGAAAUAAUUCCUGAAAUUAAUCUGGUUAAAAAACGCUCCAUUCAAACAGAAAAUUCAUGUCCUUUUUUUUCUUUUUUGGUCUUUCGUAGAGGUAAUCCACAAAUUGGACACUUACGAAAAAGCAUUGGAACAUUGAUUGAAAGAACAACGAGGGAUGAGAACUGACUGAAAUUAUGCAGGAGGAUUAUGGACAGAUCCGCAUCUUUUGAAUCAUUCCUAGGAUACAAAACAAGACCAUCAACAUCCCUAAAAUUUCUAUGUAGAAAUUUGUUGAAAUAUCAACACUUCCAUGCAAAAUCAUAGCAACCAAUUCACCUAUAUAAACCCCCUGGCUGUGGCAUCUCCAAACCACAACAGCUACCAGUUGAAUUGGAAGGUUUUGAAGCACCAUGAAUUUCACCUACACUUUGUCACUUUUGGUUUUGUGCCUAGCUUUAUACUUAACCUUCACCAAUAGCUGCAAAUUUCAACAUUAACAAAAUAAACACAUAAAACAAUUAAACCUUUACCAUGUAUUCUCUUUUACUUAUUGAUCGGUCACAUCAUGAAAUACAAAAGGAUUAUAGAAUUACUUACUUAUAUAAAUAUAUUCCAGGGUAAUGUUAUCUAUUCCAUAUGAUUGAUGAAAAGCGAAAAUGACUUGCCUGUCUUUCUUCGUCAGAAGAGUACCUAAUAGCCGCACUAGAAUUGCCAGCACAAAUAAGAAAUAAAAUGCUGUAAAACCAAAAAGAGCAGUGCAGCCACUGUUGGCUUCUAAAUAUCAGCAUAGUGAUUGUUAUGGCUACAACAACUAACCACCCGAAAACAUGUUUUAACUUUUCCUUAAAGUUGUGACUUAAAUGUUCAACAUCUUAAUGUAAGAGGAAGGAUUCAAUUCCCAGACCUCUUACUUGCACUCCCUCCCCUUUAAACUAUUCAACUCAUCUCAUCCCCGAGUUGUAUGUAUAUUGACUUGUCUUGUUAUAUUAAUUAAUAUCUUUUAACGUUGGAAAGGAAAUACAAAAAGUUUAAACUAUAGUGAUGAUUGACUAAUUUUUGUGAGAUCUGAAUUGCCAUGUGCAAUACCUUGAAGGUGUAAAUUGACCUACCCACCUUCCAUCUUUUACUACUGCUGGGCAAUUAAAAUAAUUUUUCUUUGUUCAAUAUAAUAGUGGAAUUGGUAAGAAUUAGGAGAGUAUUUCUAUUUCUAGUCUAAGAAAAUUGAACAAAUUUGACAAAUUUCAGUUUAAAAAUAUUGACAAAUUAUCACUGCCCGAUACGGGCCCAGUCCAUCUAAAACACGCUUGAAGCACAGAGCAGAUUGAUUUGGUGGUUUCCGGUUGGGCUUCCGGUCCUUGAUCCGCGUCUAUUAACGAAUUCGUAUUGUCAAUAUUGGGCCGUAUAAUCCACCAGCCCAUGGAAUUUAAUUUAGGAAAAUAAAUUUCUUUUAAGUUGUGAAUUUAAUUAGUAGAACGAGAAACAAUUCAGAAAAUUAGUAUAAAGUACAAACCAUAUAGUACAUGUUUUUCUCAAUAAAAUACCAAUUAUGACUAGCUUAAGGAAUUGAUAAAUAAUUCAUCUUUGUUCAGCUUUUCCUUUUGGGUGAUUCCCAUUAAUAAAAUCAUCUUUGUUCUCUCAAAAAAAAAGAAAAGAAAAGAAAAGAAAGAAAGAAACGAACUCCAUCCUUUUAAGUGGUAAAUAAAAUGAAUAAAAAGAAAAAUGCAAAUAAAUAUCUUAACACUGCAAAAAAGAAAUUGAUAUUGAAACAUACUGAUAUUUAAGAAGUUUUUAUAAAUUUUGGCAUCACCUACAGAUAAAAUGAUAUCUCUGUAAUGUGCCUUUUAUUAACUAUAAAAAAAAAAUACGUUACAGAGGUUCCAGUGGCAGAGGUAGAAAUACUUUUCAGUUGGGGCACGAAUUAACUUUCCCAAUUUUUUUCCAAUUUACAAGUGGCUAAUAAUAACAAAAGAUUAUUUUUUUAAAGGAUCAAAUCUAAUAGACUGAUAAACCACCACUGCUUUGUUAAUGAAAAAUGCAAAGCUAUGGGCCAAGGUAAGGUAAAUAUGCAAGCAAAAGUACGUUGGAACUUGGCAUCUAAAGAUUUGCAGCUAUUUGCUUUCUUCUUUGUUUACGUUUUGAUAAAUUAUACAAUAAUGACUAUGCUAUAUAAUAACUAUUUCAAAAUCCAGCCAAGGCACAAUUUAGAAUUUUCAAGAAAUCUCAAAACUAUUCUAGGUACCUCAUUUGGGUCAAUAGGGAUAUGUGCCCCAUUGGCCACAACGUAAAUCUACCCUUUUUUUUAGUAAAAAAAGUUUGGGUGAAUUUGAUUUCGAUUAUCGUCACGGGUCAAAAUCUGUUUCCGGAACUAUAAGUCGCUUGCAGAAGUUCUUAUAAAUCACCCAACAACAGAGACCUCACAAUGUAAAUCCACUUAUAGGUUCUUAGUUCGACGAUCUGAAGCUUUCCUUUGCCAUAAUAAAGCAUGAACUACAUUCAAACUGCAUUCCUUACACUGGGCACAAGUAGCAGUAAAUGAAUUUUGAUUGAAUAUGAAUUUAGCAUUUUAGGCUUGUAGCAACCAGAAAUGCUAUUCUGGAAAGUUGCCAAAACUAAAGUUUAAGCACAAAAAACUGCUUGAACACUUCACGAAACUGCCCAAAUUGGGCUUUUAAUUUUUUUUCUCCAAUUACUUGAGUAACCUCUACGAAAUCCUGGAAUAGAAACUCUUGUUCUACUUGAUAUCCUGAUUGAAUUGUCUAAGCUUCUUGAAGCUAUUUGCCUAACAUUCGCUGGUCUCAGACUUGAGUAGGAAGACAAACAGACGUAUGGUCAUGAUUUGUGCCCAUUCGGCUGCACCAAAAUCUUGUUGAAACUCUAGACUAAGAGGAAGAUUCCAAAGAAAAAUAUCAAAACAGAAGACUUUAGGAGUUACGAAAUUGGCAUUUAGUCUCCUUGGGUGUGGAAUUUGAAAUCAUCAUCAAUACUAACAUGUUGAUAUUGACUACCUCACAACAGAAAGUUAUCGCGAAAAUAAUUAGAUGCUAAUACCAAACGUUUUAAUCUCUAACCAUCAUUUCUUAUGUUAAACAUAGGUUUUAGCGUAGCUAAUCAAUAUAUGUACAAUUGCUAAUUUUUUCCACUAAUUAAGUCAAAAGAUAAUUGUUUUGAAUGGUGUUUUUGCGAAAAUUCCAAUAAAAUAUUUUGUUAAUAAACACAUUUGAUAUUUUCAGAGAUGUUAGAUAGUGAUUCCUGAAAACAGUGAGGUUGAAAAAACAUUUCAACCAAACAGAUAAGUCAUGUCUGUUUCUUUUUUCUAUCUUAGAGAAUUGGACACUAAAGAAAAGAAAUUGUAACAUUGAUAUAUAGAACAGUCAAGUUCACAUCACCAGAAGAAUAAACAAUGGGGGAUGAGAUUAUGCAGAAUAUGGACGGAUAAGCAUCUUUGAAUCAUUCCUAGAAUACAAGAAAGGGCCAUCAACAUCUCUGAAAUUUCUCAUGUAGAAAAUUUGUUAAGAAGAUUAACAUGUACACGCAAAAUGAUAGCAGCCAAUCGCCCUAUAUAAACCCCCUACCUGUGGCAUCUUGAAACCACAGCCAGCUACUAAUUCACUUAGAAAGUUUGAAACACCAUGAAGUCCACCUACACUUUGUCCCUUUUGGCUUUAUGCCUAACUUUAUACUUAACCUUCACCAAUGCCGCAAAUUUCAACAUUAUAAACCAAUGUACCUACACAGUUUGGGCAGCUGCUUCCCCAGGCGGUGGCAGGCGGCUCGACCGAGGCCAAUCAUGGUCCCUAGACGUGGCUCCUGGCACCACCCAAGCUCGCAUUUGGGGCCGAACCAAUUGCAACUUUGAUGCCAAUGGCCAAGGCCACUGUCAAACAGGUGACUGCAACGGGCGCCUCGAAUGCCAAGGCUAUGGAAGUCCACCGAAUACGCUAGCUGAGUUCGCUCUAAACCAGCCUAACAACUUAGACUACAUCGACAUUUCCAACGUUGAUGGAUUCAACAUCCCAUUGGAGUUCAGCUCCGUUACUUCUUGCCGUGACAUCCGAUGUUCAGCGCCUAUUGUUGAUCAAUGCCCAGCUCAGCUAAGAACUCCAGGUGGAUGCAACAAUCCCUGCACUGUUUUUCACACAAAUGAGUAUUGUUGCACCAAUGGCCCAGGAAGCUGUGCCCCUACCGACUUAUCCAGGUUCUUCAAGGACAGGUGCCCUGAUGCUUAUAGCUAUCCUCAAGAUGAUCGCACAAGCUUGUUUACUUGCCCAAGUGGUACAAAUUAUAGGGUUGUCUUCUGCCCUUAAAUAAAGCUAGAUAUUUAAGAAAAGUAGAUUAUGAAGAAAUAAACGGAUAUGAGAACCAUCUUGUAAUGGUUCACUGAAAUUGGAAUAAAUUUGAGCACAUAUAGCAUUGUGCGGUUUGUCUUCUUUAUCAGCUUUUUGGCUCUUUAAACUACUUAUGAACUACAUCACUGCUUACCAAAUUAAUCUGUAAGAUGGAUUUACACAUCCCUUGCUCUGACCCCUGAUUGCAUUUCUUCAAUUUCAAAACUGAGUUACCAUGUUAAUUAGAAAACACAGUGUCCAUGGAUUUUAGUGGUUUUAUUAUCCAUUACGAUUUGUAAUAAAAGAUCCUGGAGAAAAACAAAAUAACAACAACGCAGACAAAAAAAGUUAUACGAUAAAAUUAAAAAAAAAGUAAAAAGUUCUUUUACCCCAUCUAACUUAGCCAUAUAAGAAAAGAAGCUACAAAGUUCAGGAGCAGCCAAGAAUACAUCCACUUUGCAAACAAUUGAUCCGUUUCCUUUUCUUCCACCUGUCAUACUCCUUUCUGUUUUCCUUUCUCUUUUCUUCAAGUAUCAUCCAUGAAUCAGUUCCAGCAAUUUGAGGUAACAAUAAAAUCUAGGCUGUUCGGUGUCGUGGUUCAAUGGAUCUGAUACCACAUCUUGGACGGGUACAAGCUUUGCCCGUCCUCCAUACUACUCUGGCAAAGUUUCUUCGCCUAUGUCCUGGAUAAAAUCCCCCCUUUCCUCUUCAUUAAUCAUGAUCUUAAUCUGUGUUUAUCAUUUAAAAGUAGCUAGUUAAUCACGAUUUUAGAAAAAAACAUGUUUACUCGAAAUUUUUGGAUUUGGAAAUCUAAACGCAAUUAUAUGCUACUUUUUGUACCCAUAAUCAAUGAAUAGAUAUUGAGCGAUGCUGUUACAUGUUUCUGCAAUCAGGCAAAAGAGACAAAUAUAAGCCACAAAUGGCUCAAAUUAAGUGAGAUCUUAGAAUCUUUGAAUUCAUAGAAACGAACAACGGAUCUUCAAUAACUGCUCCUCUGGUUGAUCACAUAAAGAGGCUAACUAUCUGCGUUCUGUAAUCGAUUAAGCAAUAGUACGAAUGGUUUUUUUCAACUCAUUGGGAUCAUGAUGUGACUGGAAAGUUUUAUUUCUGUUGAAAAUUAAAUUAAUUAGCUUCAUACUCUUGCAGAACAAUAAUCUUCCAGUGGGAAAACAAGAUGGGAAGAAAAGGAAAGAAAAGAUCACUUUCUGUCGACUUCUACAAUCAAUAAAAAGCUCCAUUAAUUAACCAAAAAAAGAAGAAGAAGAAGAUGGAUCUUGUAUUGGUUCGUUGUCUUUAAGUAUUUCUGCACAAUAUUGUCUUGUUUUGACAAGUGAUAGUCGCACAUAGAGGGCAGUCUCUUGCAAGCCUUUCAAAGCAAGAUGCAAGUAAACACAUAUGCUCGAACAGAGAACUUAAAUUGCAUUUGCUUACUUUGACAAGUUUAAUGGCUUCAUCCUACGUAUGGAUGGAAGCAGUACUUUAGUUAUUAUCUGCCUGCUAAUUUUAAGAAAGAUCUUUUAUAUGUUUAAAUUUGCAGAAAUGGUUGCAUAUCAGAAAGACCUUCUCAAGAGUUGCUCUCUCAAGGAAGUAUGAAACCAUCCUCCAUACACUCACAAAGAACCAGGGUAUAUGUACAAUGUAACACUUGGCCAAGCACUCAGGGUAGCAAGCCAACACAAAUAAGAGAUUCGAAUGUAAUAUCGUAACGAGAAAGAAUUGCACAACUCCAAGGUGAAUGAGUAGGACCAGUCAUUGUGUCACGGUAAAACAGGAAUCUUUCUUGAAUUUGAAUGUGGAAAGAUCUGAUCAUUGUCCUUUUCCAUGGAUCCGAAUUUUAUCUGACCUUAAGUUUAAAGAUCUCAGCCGAUAACCUUAAUGAUCCAUGGUUUGACAUGAAUCUAUUACAGUAAGUCAGAACAAGAAUCUGUCUUGAGGAAUUUGCUAACUGAGGGUAGUAGCACUAAAACCAUUUUCCAAUAGAGGUCCUAGAAUUACACUUAAAUUAGGGAUAUGAAGAACCUCACAUGUAAAAUUUAAUGGCAGCAAGGUAAUACUUUUUGAACAGCAUAGAAGUCUACUCGGAGAAACUCAAAUUCAACGGAUGUUUCUGCAUGCUGAUUGAAUUUUCUAAGCUUCAUGAAGUCAUCUGCCUAACUCUUGACUGGGAUCAGAAUAGAGAACGAAGACAAACAGGUGUAUGGUCUUGAUUUAUGCCCAAUCUGCAACUCCAAAAUCUUGUUGAAAUUCUAGACUAUGAGGAAUAAUAUUAAAAAAAACAUAGUUACGAUAUUAUCAUUAGUCUCUCCAGUUGUGUGAUUUUGAAAUGAUCGUCGCUACCAAAAUGUUGAGAUUGACUACCGCAUAACAGAAAGUUAUCGCUAAAAUAAUUAGAAGCUAAUAUCAAAUGUUUUAAUCCCAGAUCAUCAUUUAUUAUUUUGAACAUAGAUUUCAAUAUGGCCAAUCAAUUUUUGUAUAAUUGCUAGUUCUUUCCACUAAUUAAGUCAUAAGAUAAUUGCUUUGCACAGUGAUUUUAGGAGAAUUGUAAUAUAAUAUUUUGUUAAUAAGCGCAUUUGUGAUAUUAAGAAAUGUUAGAAAGUGAUUCCUGAAAACAGUGUGGUUGAAAAACACUCCACCCAAAAGGAUAAUUCAUGUCUGUUUCUUUUUUAUAUCUUAGAUAGAGGUAAUCCACGAAUUGGACACUAGAGGAACGACAUGUAAGGUUGAUCUUUAAAACAGUCAAGAUUUACAUCACCAGAAGAAUAAAAAAAAGGGCAAAAUACACUGUGUCCUCCAGUGGUUUAGCAUUUUUCACAUAACCCGCUUAUGAUUUCAAAAGUUACAUAUAACUCUCUUAUGGUUUCGAUUAAAGUAUUAAGGUGAAAAAAAUUUGCAUUCCACAACGGAGUCAACUAAAAUGUCAAAAUUAUCCCUAUGUAAAGUUAAAAAUUAUUUAUUUACUACAGGGGAUUCUAUAUAUAUUUAAAAAUCAUAAGGAGAUUAUAUGGUAAAACAAUAAAUCAUAAAGAAGUUAUAUGCUAAAAUAUAAAACCAUAUGGGGCUAGAGUGUCAUGCAUAUUAUAUUUAUAAAUUUUUGUCACUUCACCCAUUUUAGUUUUAAACAAGAAUAACUUAGAUAUUUUCAUGAGUUCGGUUAUAAAUGAUCAUUUCUAUCGCUUUGACACUUUAAUUCAAAUUAUGAGAGGUUAUAUAUAGUUUUUAAAACUAUAGGUGGGUCAUGUGAAAAUUUGCUAAAUCACAUGAUAAUAAAGUGUAUUUUGCCAAAUAAAAAAUGAGGGAUGAGAGCUGACUGAAAUUAUGCAGAAGGAUAACGGCUAGAUCAGCAUCUUUGAAUCAUUCCUAGCUAGUAUACAAGAUAACCAUCAAAAUCUCUGAAAUUUCUUAUGUAGAAAAUUGGUGAAGAAGAUUAACGUGUACACGCAAGUUAAUAGCAGCCAAUCACCCUUUGUAAACCGCCAGCUGUGGCAUCUUGAAAACACAAUAGCUACUAGUUCACUUUGAAAGUUAGAAACACCAUGAAGUUCAACUACACCUUGUCCCUUUUAGUUUCGUGCUUCAUUUUAUACUUAACCUUCACCAAUGCUGCAAAUUUCAACAUUAUAAACCAAUGUACCUACACAGUUUGGGCAGCUGCUUCCCCAGGGGGUGGCAGGCGGCUCGACCGAGGCCAAUCGUGGUCCCUAGAUGUGGCUCCUGGCACCACCAACGCUCGCAUUUGGGGCCGAACAAAUUGC
rnacentral:lncRNA from 1 species